UACGUAGGGUGCGAGCGUUAAUCGGAAUUACUGGGCGUAAAGCGUGCGCAGGCGGUGAUGUAAGACAGAUGUGAAAUCCCCGGGCUCAACCUGGGACCUGCAUUUGUGACUGCAUCGCUGGAGUACGGUAGAGGGGGAUGGAAUUCCGCGUGUAGCAGUGAAAUGCGUAGAUAUGCGGAGGAACACCGAUGGCGAAGGCAAUCCCCUGGGCCUGCACUGACGCUCAUGCACGAAAGCGUGGGGAGCAAACAGG
rnacentral:rRNA from 1 species